rnacentral:rRNA from 1 species
AAUGAACGUUGGCGGCGUGGAUUAGGCAUGCAAGUCGUGCGCGAAACGUAGCAAUACGAGGAAAGUGGCGGAAGGGAGAGGAUUACGUGGGAAUCUACCCUCAGAACUGGGAUAGCGGCGGGAAACUGCCGGUAAUACCAGAUAAUGUCUGUGGACCAAAGGUGUGAUUCCGUCUGGGGAUGAGCCCACGUCCUAUUAGCUAGUUGGCAGGGUAAUGGCCUACCAAGGCAAUGAUGGGUAGCGGGUGUGAGAGCAUGACCCGCCUCACUGGGACUGAGAACUGCCCAGACACCUACGGGUGGCUGCAGUCGAGAAUCUUCGGCAAUGAGCGCAAGCUUGACCGAGCGACGCCGCGUGCGGGAUGAAGGCCUUCGGGUUGUAAACCGCUGUCGUAGGGGAGCAAGAGAUGAGGGUACUCCCUCUGAUUUGAGCGAUCCUAGGAGGAAGGACGGGCUAAGUUCGUGCCAGCCGCCGCGGUAACAC